GUGUUGAAGGUGUGGAGGUGGAUCAGAGAGUCAGAGGAGACAUUGUAGAAGGACAGAGAGCCAGAGGGCCAGUCCAGAUACACUCCCACUCUGUGAGAGAAGGAAGACGGGGGACAUAUGUCUGUUUUUUCUGAGUUGUGAUGAGCAGAGUCACUCCCACACAAACCAGUCCCUGCCACUCCACCUCCCAGUAACAACGCCCAGUCAGACCAUUUCUACACAGCAGCUGAAGGCAGUCGUCAAAUCUCUCCGGAUGAUCGGGAAGCUGAUUUGUCAGGAACAGUGACCCCAGAUCACCUAAAAAACCAGAAUAAGCUUUAAACCUUCACCUUUUAUCAAAUAAGUGGCGUCCAUCUUUGAAGGUGACAGGUUCCCCUCUGGAGUGAUCGCUCUUCAGGGACACACAGCUGGGUCCAGGGGAGUCUGGUCUCUCCUGCUGAAUCCUGAGAGAAAAACCACCAGAAAAACUGACAAAGAAGUUACUGACUGUAUUAUCUCAACCACCUGAGGCAAAUGGGAAGGGCAAAAGUGUUCCUGCUUUGAACAAAAGAUGUAAUAUCUGUUUUCAUCUGGGAAUUUAAUCUUAUUUGGCUGACUGGAAGAGUGUCAUAAAAAUGUCUAAAACAUAACUAAAAUAUAGUAAAGAAAGUCCUUUUUUCAGUGGUCGAAGAAGUAAUCAGAUACUUUACAUGAGUAAAAGUACCACACAGUAACACAUAUGCAACAGAACAAUUAUAGAAAUAAAUAUUUUGGAUAUAUUUUAUGAUUAAAAGUAAAUGAACCUUCUUCCUUGUCACCUUUGUUGUAACUGUUACUGUGUAAUCAAUAACAUAGACGCCAUAAUAAAAAUAUUUGUCAGCCUUUA